UACAGAGGUCUCAAGCGUUGUUCGGAAUCACUGGGCGUAAAGCGUAUGUAGGCUGUACGGUAAGUCAGAUGUGAAAGCCCAGGGCUCAACCCUGGAACUGCAUCCGAUACUGCCAUACUAGAGUAGUGGAGGGGUAUAUGGAAUUCACGGUGUAGCAGUGAAAUGCGUAGAUAUCGUGAGGAACACUGGCGGCGAAGGCGAUAUACUGGACACUCACUGACGCUGAGAUACGAAGGCUAGGGUAGCGAAAGGG
rnacentral:rRNA from 1 species